rnacentral:rRNA from 1 species
AUUGAACGCUGGCGGCAGGCCUAACACAUGCAAGUCGAACGAGUGGCGGACGGGUGAGUAAUGUCUGGGAAACUGCCUGAUGGAGGGGGGUAACUACUGGAAACGGUAGCUAAUACCGCAUACCAUCUGAUGUGCCCAGAUGGGAUUAGCUAGUAGGUGGGGUAACGGCUCACCUAGGCGACGAUCCCUAGCUGGGCUGAGAGGAUGACCGGCCACAAGGGAACUGAGAAAGGGCCCAGACUCCUACGGGAGGCAGAAGUGGGGAAUAUUGCACAAUGGGCGCAAUCCUGAUGCAGCCAUGCGGGGUGUAUGAAGAAGGCCUUCGGGUGGUAAAGUACUUUGAGCGGGGAGGCGUUACCCAAAGAAAAAGCACCGGCUAACUCCGUGCCAGCAGCCGCGGUAAUAC